rnacentral:rRNA from 1 species
UACAGAGGGGGCAAGCGUUGUUCGGAUUUACUGGGCGUAAAGCGCGUGCAGGUGGGUCAUUAAGUCAGGUGUGAAAUCUUCAAGCUCAACUUGAAGCCUGCACUUGAAACUAACGAUCUAGAGUCCCGGAGAGGCAGGCAGAAUUCCUGGUGUAGCGGUGAAAUGCGUAGAUAUCAGGAGGAAUACCAAUGGCGAAGGCAGCCUGCUGGACGGUGACUGACACUCAUACGCGAAAGCGUGGGGAGCAAACAGG